CGGAGAGGAGAGAGGAAGAGGAAGGAACGCGCCUGGCGUCACUGAGGGUGUCACCCGGGACCGCGGCUCAGGUACCCAAGCUUCUCCGCGAGUCCAGCGCUGCCACUCGGCGGCCGCCGCGGGCGCGGGGAUCCUGGGUCGCUCCGCCUUGACCCACGCGCCCCACGCCCCGGGACUUACACCUGGGGUCGCUCCCCGCACGCGCGGGCCUCGCGCCGGUGCCGCCGCAGCGCCCCCUGCAGGCCGGAGCCGAGCUGGCCCAGGCCUGAGUCUGGCCCGGGGUUCCGUGGCCCCAGUGCCGGCCCCGCGGCUGCUGCUCCGGCCCGGCCAGGUGCCUUCGUGUUGAGGCGAAAGGACUGGGCCUCAGUGGGUGAAGGGACCGGGUGGCCCGCUUCCACCUAGGGCAGAGGCUGGAUCGGCCGCGGCGAGGCUGGGCCCAGCAUUACUGGGAGGGGAACUUGAGAGCCGCGGGUUGAUGUUCGGAGCUCAGGCGACGACUGACCACCCACCCUUCCUCGAAGAGGAACAAUGGCUUGGGAACCCCAGACGCACGGGCCUUGUGCUGUCGCUGCCGUGGCACCCCUUCUAGAAGGACUCUAUUCUCUAUAACAGAAGUGGGAGCCUUGGACAACUGAACGCCUAUCUCUAGCUCAAGAAAUGUCAGCUCUUUUUUUUUUUUUGAGACUGUCACCCAGUCGGGAGUACAGUGGCGCCAUCUUGGCUCUCUGUAACCUCCACCUCCUGGGUUCAAGCGAUUCUCCUGCCUCAGCCUCCUGAGUAGCUGGGGCUACAGGUAUGCACCAUCACUCCUGGCUAAUUGUUGUAUUUUUAGUAGAUAAUGGGGUUUCACCAUGUUGGCCAGGGUGGUCUCAAACUCCUGACCUCAGGUGAUCUGCCUGCCUCGGCCUCCCAAAGUGCUGGGAUUACAGACGUGAGCCACCAUGCCCAGCCAAGAAAUGUCAAUUCUUUAUCGUAGCCUGGCUUUCCAUAUUUCUCACUAGGGUUUUUAUUCUCUAGUUUGUAAAUCACAUUUGGCGUUUGUAGAUCACUCCUUCCCUUUUAGUGGCAUUCUCUAUUAGGUGUCCAUCUCCCAAUAUGAAGAAACAGUUUUCUGCUUUUUCCUCCUUUAUCUGAUCCAUUUACAGAUUUAUUACAUUUAUAAUAGGCUAGGUAUUGGGGAUACAAAAAUGAAUAAGAUAUGGUCUGUUUUCAAAGGUAUGCAGAAACUUUUCUAUAUAUUCCUACUGACUUGUAUUUGUAUUUCUUGAAUUAAAAACAAUCCUGGCUGUGUUUUUUUUUUUUUUUUUUUGCUCUUAGUGAAUCUUUGUUUCUUCUUUUCAUUAUGGCAUUCCAGUUGAGUUUCACCACGCAUUAUCAUGAGAAUAAAUAAUUUCACUGACUUUAAUAAUAUUUGAUCACUUAUGUUGAUGUCAUUUAACUCUCAUUUACAUUUCAGUGGUCUAAAACACAACUAAGAUACUAAAAGAAAAAUAAAAGAUGAGAUUAUUGGCAAAUAAUUACCAC
rnacentral:lncRNA from 10 species